UGUUGACUGAGAAAGUAAAAAAAUAAAGGAAAAAAGUGAAGGGGUAAAACUGUAAAUGUAGUCGAGAGGGAAUACAUCUGCCAUGGUAGCGGAGAAAAUAUUUACACGCAUCCACCAUCUUCAUCGACAUCCAUGGCUUCCUUGAUCAACUCUCCAUCUCAUGCGAACAUUCUCUCUCCUCGAUCUUUUCUCAUAACUCUAUUUCUCGUCUCGUCGCUUCUUCAACUCUCCCUCUGCCACCAACUUAAAGAAAACGAAGAAGAAGAAAGAAUAAGGCGUCGGAAACUAUUAGGGUUCAAGGAAAAAGCAGCUGGUUCGAAUACUACUUUUGAGUGCUCUCCUUCUGGUCCUUGCGUUCCCUGUCAGUACUCUGAGAAGAAAGAUGACAAAUAUCGCUGUAGUGAAACUGGAUAUCGUAUUCCUUUCAAGUGUAUCAGAAGUGGAGAUGUAACAAAGGGAGCAAGUGGUAAUGUUCCCGAAAACAGCCAUCCUACUGAAGAAGGAUCUGUUAAUGCAGACAAUGCUGCAGCUAAGCACAGGUUGUUAGCAGAUAAGUCCUCUAAGAAAAAGGGUAAACGUGAACCCAAGGAGUACGUGACUUAUAGAAGUUGUAUACAGGGUGUAAAUGAAGAGAAGCUCUCGGUUCUUGGUUUUGAGGAGGAGAAACAAAAGAUGAUGGCUUUAGCACUUGCAAAGUAUUGAUAUCCAUAGUGCUGGAUCCCCUAGACAUUUCAACUUUCAAAGGUUUGCAGAAACAUGAAGUGAUUUGGGAGUUGGAACUUGAAAGAAUGUGCAAUCACUUUUUUUAGACCUCUUAGUGCACAAGUUCUUGUAUUGGGUCUCUUGCUCGUUAGCGGAUCAUUUGUAUUCUUCAGGAGAAAAAAGACUGUAACAAUGGCUGGGGCUGGAAAUUUGAGAGUUCAAAGCAACUCUAGGUUUUAGGUAAUUCUUAAGGCUAGGUUACUAGUGUAAUUGAAGUUUUUUGUCUUUCUACCUAUUCUUUUGACAGGCUGUAUGAAAGCUUUUACAACAAAUCAAUGAUGUUUCAACUCCCAGCCAUUUCUCAGGUCAUAUACAGGUUGCCUGUAGGUUGUAUGUAAAAAAAAUAUUGGUGGAUUUUGUGAUUCUAUUAACCAAUUGUUGUUACAUAA